rnacentral:tRNA from 1 species
GCGGGUGUAACUCAGUUGGUAGAGUUCUAGCUUCCCAAGCUAGUUGUCGCGAGUUCGAAUCUCGUCGCCCGCUCCA